GAUUCACUGAGCCACUAGCUGUGUGGGAUCUUCCUGCCGCUGCUCUGCUUUCGAUUCCCCCACCUGUCACCUUAGCUGGUGGCACCACCUCUCGGUCUCUGACAGUUUCCUGUCGGAAAGGUUUGACCUUUUCUCUCUCUUCUUGGAGGAAGGGAGGGUCAUUUGCUACAGAGCACUGAGCAAGAAGGUCAGCUCGUGCCGAGCACACAACUUGCUCCUUUCAUGCUCACUCAGCCAGAAAUGAAAAUGUUAGAGUUAGAAGCACCCGUGGAAAUCACUCCUCAUGGAAGAGAAGAGGAAAUCCAAGCCCCAAGACCUUCAGCAAGUAGCUCAAGCUCACAGAGCUGGCUGCAGGCACGUCAGGAGACUUGGCCUCUGAAAACAGAGCUCUCUGUAUGGCACUUUAAGUCGGGGACUCUCUCUGCCUUGUGUAAGCACAACAUGUAACGUGCUUUGAGAUGUAACAGUAAAAGACAUUACGUUCAUCAGAAGGGAGUCUGGCUUAAAUAAAAAGAUUGGGAAAUAACCGCUCUGGAAUUCACAACAUAUCACAGCUUUGGAAAUCAUCUGGUCCAACGUCCCAUGUAAAUUAAAGAUAAGGAAACUUCCA